CGCGGGGUAGAGCAGUUCGGUAGCUCGUCGGGCUCAUAACCCGAAGGUCGUAGGUUCAAAUCCUUCCCCCGCUAC
rnacentral:tRNA from 1 species